rnacentral:rRNA from 1 species
UACGUAGGGUGCAAGCGUUGUCCGGAAUUAUUGGGCGUAAAGAGCGUGUAGGCGGCCCGAUUAGUCCGCUGUGAAAGUCCAGGGCUCAACCCUGGGAUGCCGGUCGAUACUGCCGGACUAGAGUUCGGAAGAGGCGAGUGGAAUUCCCGGUGUAGCGGUGAAAUGCGCAGAUAUCGGGAGGAACACCUAUGGCGAAGGCAGCUCGCUGGGACGUUACUGACGCUGAGACGCGAAAGCGUGGGGAGCAAACAGG